GUCCUAGCUGUAAACGGUGCACAUUUGCUGUAGGCGGAAUCGACCCCGUCUGUGGCGAAGCUAACGCGUUAAAUGUGCCGCCUGGGGAGUACGGUCGCAAGAUUAAAACUCAAAGAAAUUGACGGGGGCCUGCACAAGCGGUGGAGUAUGUGGCUUAAUUCGAUGCAACGCGAAGAACCUUACCUGGCCUUGACAUGUAGGUAGUAGGACCGUGAAAGCGGAACGAGGUAGCAAUACCAGCUUACACAGGUGCUGCAUGGCUGUCGU
rnacentral:rRNA from 1 species